rnacentral:misc_RNA from 1 species
ACGAGCUGUACUUGCUGAGGAGCUAGCUGUGUUGAGGCAAGUAGAUGAGUUUGCCUCAAAGGGGCUAAGUCCUCCCAGAGGAAAGAAUGGGUUUGCUAGGGCUUCUUCCAUGUCUCCAAAUGCAAGAAUGGCCAGAAUAUCUUCACUUGAGAACAUGUUAAGCAUGUCUUCUAAUUCACUUGUUGCAAUGGCUUCACAACUUUCAGAGGCAGAAGAGCGGGAACGUGCAUUCACUAACCGCGGACGUUGGAAUCAGCUGCGUUCAAUGGGAGAUGCAAAGAACUUGCUUCAGUACAUGUUCAAUUCCCUAGCAGAUGCAAGGUGUCAGGUAUGGGAAAAGGAAAUGGAAAUCAAGGAAAUGAAGGAACAAUUUAAAGAACUUGUAGGGCUCUUGCGACAAAGUGAGGUGCAAAGAAAAGAAGUGGAGAAAGAGUUAAAAUUGAGAGAGCAAGCUAUUUCAAUUGCUUUGGCUACAUCAGCUUCGGCUUGCAAUGAACAGGGGAAUUCCUACAAUUCACUGAAACAUUUUGCUGAUGACAUGAGUGGUCCUUUGUCUCCAAUGUCUGUACCAGCACAGAAACAGCUAAAAUAUACGCCAGGUAUUGCUAAUGGUUCAGUCAGACAGACAGCAGCAUUCAUAGAUCAGACAAGAAAGAUGGUGCCACUUGGGCAGUUGUCAAUGAGAAAAUUAGCAGUUGCAGGACAAGGUGGGAAGCUGUGGAGAUGGAAAAGAAGUCAUCACCAGUGGCUUUUGCAAUUCAAAUGGAAGUGGCAGAAGCCAUGGAGACUGUCUGAAUGGAUUAGGCACAGUGAUGAAACAAUCAUAAGAGCAAAGCAUCGUCCACAUGCUUUGCCACAUGUGGCCUAAUGUUUUGUGCUCACCAGAUUAUUCUUGCCCAAUACUCAUCUUUGACCUAUAAGUAUGAUUGCAACCCAUACCACAGAUCGCACCUACAACAAAUGGAGUGCUGGAAGUGGCUGGUGUGGAGCUCUGCUUAUAGCUGUCCUGGAUGAGCUGAUUUUGAAAAGUUCAGGUUUGAUCUUGGAAUUUUUUUUGCUGUGAUCUGUGCAUUCGGAGCAUCUUGUAAAGCAGUAUUGAUGCUGCCAAUGAUUCGCCGGAGUAUUUACAAGAAGAUAUUGGAAGGGAAUGGUGUUAGUAGUGAUACAAUGGUAAACAAAUAUAUUGCUCUAGGUUUAUAACGUUUUGGUAUAUAAUAUAUGGUCUGUCAAUAACAACACUUUGGGGUAAGAAAACCAUCCCAGGAAAUAUAGGAAUGUAUAACAGGGGUCCAGUAUUUUUCUUUAUCCAUUUACUUUUUGUUCUUUUCCCCGAUUGUAAUUUUUUUGGCUAAUUUUUCCCGAUGUUUAUUAUGUGUAAGUACAAUAUUGAUUCUGUUGAAAGGAUUGAACACUUAGAAAAAAAA